AGCAAGAUCGAUCUAUCGUCAAGAAAAACAACAAGAUAAUGCAUGGAAGCUCUCAAGGUAAGGUGCGUGCAUGGCGAUGGAAGAAUGAAGAGAGCAUGCAUAUUACUGCAUUUAGAAGAACAAAGUUAAUAAAUUAGUUUCUUGGGUAAUCUUUCAUCUGUUAAUUAAUUAUUAGUGGACUUGUCCUCUUUGGCAAACUAGCUAGACCAGAAUUUCAGUUUAAUUUUGCCAUGUUUCAUGCAUGUAUGUAUGUGAUGUACAUUUGGUCCGCCGGUCUCCUUGGAACUUGGAUGUGAUCGAGAUGUGAAGACCGGACCGGACCGGACCAGACCGGAACUUAAUCUGUUACCAUUUGGAGUUUUACUGCCUGCUUGAUACAUGCAUGCGUGCAUGCCUGCGCUAAUGUCUGGGUGAUGAUCAUCAGAGUAUACGAUUCAAUAUCUAUGUCAGCACGGGGUUUAUAUUUCAUGUUGGUUUCUUCUCUGGGUGGCGCUGCUUUCAAAGCUUAAAGGACGACUGGGCUAAUCAGCAAGCAAGCACAGACUGCAGAGUGGGCAUUAAAUUAGCUGGUACGUCCUCAGCUUAUGACCAGUCAGUGAGGCUGGAUGGAUGCAUCAGCGUGUAGUACGUGUAUGUAGGUCUCAGGCGAGACCAGACAGGAAGCACACGACAGGGGAGGAAGAUACAAGCAGAUGAUCCAAAGCACGCAUCCCCAGUGCAUGGCUCAUCGAUGAGCACCCGCUGCUGCUAGCUCUGGCUAUGGUUGUGACUUGUGAGUGGUACUACUAGAAUGCACCACUAGAGUACUACUAAUUAUUCGCUCGAUCUUGGUUGGCCUCUUGACUUUGCAUGCCCCUCGUCGAUCGUCUGCAAGCAAAAACUGCUUGCACUGCUGCUCUCACUGUGUGUGUGUUGUGAUCCGGUCUGGCUGAGGCACCACACAUGCAUAUAGAGAUGGAUUGACGUAUACAAAUGUAGCCACAGGAAAAGGUACGUGCCGGGUCGCUAUGCAACGUUUGGAUGUAGCUGAACGCUACAGAACAAAGCUGGCCCUCUCAAAGUCCACGUGAAGAGAGAGAGAGAGAGAGAGAGACGACAGGUGCAUGCUAGUCUGUGCAUCAGGCAGGCCGAUCCAGAACACUAGCUAUAGCAACACAGGGAGGCCUGUCAAAUGUCACACUGUUCAUGUGAUCACUAGUCACUAGCUAGUCACAUUUUGGCUAAUUAAGGGCAUCUUCAGACCUCAAACUGUCUGCAUACGUUCAGACCGUGCUCUUCGGAUGUGUUGUGACGUAUUUUUUCAGCAAACUAGGGGUCUUUACAGGAGUCCGGACAGCAGAUCCUUAGGACUCCAACACCCCAGCCUCUCCAAAAACCCAUCCCUAACCUCGCACCUCUAUCCUCUUAUUUUCUCUCCUUUCCUUUUUCUCUCUUGCCUUCGCCGCCGCUCCACCAACCCCGCCGCCCCGGUGAGUCCGGCACCUCCAAUGGUACACCCGGGAUCCAACCUGCUUCUUCUCUGAUGCUGUUCCACGCCUCUCCUUUGACCGUCGCGCAGAUACCAUCAGCUCCUAUUGUACUUACCAUGCCCGGCAACUGUUCGGUGAAAUGCCCAUGCUAAAUUUGUUUGGCCCUUCUUCUCUGAAGCAACGGAUUCAGGUAUGGAGUACAUAUACGAGCACUAUGUUGAGUCAUCAGACGGCUCGUCCGACGAGGAGGACUACACGGAUGAGACGACGAUGAUACAUACGGUCAUUGCAGACGCGGAGUGUGCGGAAGAGCAUGUUCUCAAUCUCAAGGGAUUGAUCAAGGGUCAUCGAGUGCUCAACCGUAACAGUGUGCGCGGCCAUUUGAUAAUGAUGUCCGACUACGUUGCCCCCGAUGCCCUCUUCACUGACAAUUUUCGCCCGCAGUUUCGAAUGCGCAAAAAUGUCUUUGAUCAUCUCUACCAUGGGGUCCGAUCCUUUGAUGACUAGUUCAUCUUGAAGAAGGAUACCGUGGGAAGGAUUGGAUUCUCUGGUUACCAGAAAUGCAUGACUGCACUGCAGAUGCUUGCAUAUGGCACGACCACUGAUUCGUGGGGUGAGUACCUACGGAUGUCUAGGAGCACAUGCAGAGAUGCCAUGGUCAGGUCUGCAACUACCAUGGUCUUGGUGUUUGGACCUCAAUACCUGAGAGAACCAAAUGGCGCAGACACCGAUAGGCGCUUGACAAUCUCAGAAGCAAGAGUGGCAAGGUUUGCUCGGAUCUCUUGAAUAUAUGCAUUGGAAAUGAAAGAAACUGCAUAAAAGCUAUACAAGGGCAAUAUCAAGGCCAUGUCAAGAAGCCCACCAUCAUUCUUGAAGCUGUUGCAUCACAUGAUCUUUAGAUUUGGCAAGCCCGGGGUCUCACAAUGACAUCAAUGUGCUGCAGCGGUCAUCAUUGUUUGCGAGGCUAACUUAAGGCAAAGCUCCUCCUUGCCAUUGUACAGACAAUGGGCAUGAGUACGGCUACUAUCUGGUUGACGGUAUCUAUCCUUCGUGGGCUACCUUUGUCAACACCAGCUCUAACCCAGUUGGCCAAACAAAGGCUCACUUUGUCCAAAGACAAGAAGUAGCUAGAAAGGAUGUUGAGAGGGCAUUUGGAGUUCUGCAUGCACGUUUUGCAGUUGCUCAUGAAGCAGCUAAACAAUGGGAUGCGAAGACCUUGUAGGAGGUGAUGACUUGUUGUGUGAUCAUGCACAACAUGAUCGUGGAGCAUGAGGGUGACGAUGCUGCUACAAGUCUUGAAUUUGAGAAUAUGGGUGAUCCUACCGAACUUCCUGAUCAGAAUCCGGCCACAUUAGAAGAGUUUGUUCAAAUGCAUCAGCAAAUCCGGCAUCGAGCAACUAAAGGAAGAUCUGAUUAAGCAUUUGUGGACGGUUAAAGGGGACACCAAUGUUUAAGUGUAAUAUUUAAACUUAUUUAAAUAGAACUAUCGCUGCAUUUGAACAUUUAAACUAUUGUAGACUAUAUAUAUGCAGCUAUUUGAGUGUGCGGGCUAAAAAAAUUGAGGCAGGCAGCGUUGGCUGACCGGUUCCCGUCGUGUUUUCCAUGCAUCGUCCGUUUAUGAAGUGUUUCUGUUUUUGUUUUUGUUUCAAAAAAUUGAGGCAUUUGGAGUUCUGCAGGCACGUUUUGCAGUCGCUCAUGAAGCAGCUAAACAAUGGGAUGUGAAGACCUUGUAGGAGGUGAUGACUUGUUGUGUGAUCAUGCACAACAUGAUCGUGGAGCAUGAGGGUGACGAUGCUGCUACAAGUCUUGAAUUUAAGAACAUGGGUGAUCCUACCGAACUUCCUGAUCAGAAUCCGGCCACAUUAGAAGAGUUUGUUCAAAUGCAUCAGCAAAUCCGGCAUCGAGCAACUAAAGGAAGAUUUGAUUAAGCAUUUGUGGACGGUUAAAGGGGACACCAAUGUUUGAGUGUAAUAUUUAAACUUAUUUAAAUAGAACUAUUGCUGCAUUUGAACAUUUAAACUAUUAUAGACUAUAUAUAUGCAGCUAUUUGAGUGUGCGGGCUAAAAAAAUUGGGGCAGGGUUGGCUGACCGGUUCCGUCGUGUUUUCCGUGCAUCGUCCGUUUAUGAAGUGUUUCUGUUUUUGUUUUUGUUUUAAAAAAGGAAGAAGGAAAUCAGCGCUAACGAGGCCUCGAAACGUGGUGGUCGGGAAUUAAGCCUAGCAGGGUAAGGCUGGUCACAAUGGGCAAGAACAUAGUCUAGUAACUUACACACUUCCCUAGACUAUAUUACUACCUCCACAGUGGGUAGGAACAUCUAUGUAGUAUCAUGCAACAAUGUAUUUAUUAGGUUAUAGACUCAUUGUUUCUUGGAGUGUGUGAUGUUCCAGUAACUUAGCUAGUUACCACAAGCACCUCUCUCUUCAUUAAAUAUGUGACACAUAAGCAAAGUUGUAUUGGAGUGUGUGAUGUUACUCCUAAGUUCCUCCCCAUUGUGACCAGCCUAACCAACUCAACCAACCAAUAACUUUGCUUGUACAAAGGAAACUGCAUUCUAUAUUAUAGGAGAAGCGGAUUUUCAAUAAAUAAAUAAAUUGAAAAGCAGACCGGACCGCUGCUCACUUUAAAUGCAAAAUACUAAUCUCCGCACAAUGGCUGCCAGAUGCACGUAAAAAAAA
rnacentral:lncRNA from 1 species